GCCCUCUGUUUUGUUUACUAGCAACACAAUCUCUCCCUCACUCUGUCGCUUCCUCUCUCUCUCUUUUUCUUAAGGCAGCGGUGUUCAGCUCCAGUCCUGGCUCUGCACAGAUUAACAUGCUAACCUGCUUCAGCAUUUACACUCCUCAGCCAAAGAGAGUUAGAUGUCUGAAGUUUGAUUCUUUAGUUUAAACACUAAAGCUACAGGGCUAAUGUAGUUAGCAAGUAGGCCAGUGGAGGAUUAUAAACACCAGUUAGCAUGGUGCUAACUGCAUGUUUAAUAAUCACCCAUUUGCCUCAGACCGUGUGGAGUUGUAGUAUCUCUCUAUCAGACUUGAUUGUGUGGUUUCUGGUACUGUUUGGCUCACUGUUAUCUAUAAACAUGGAUAAAGAACAUUAGCCUAGCUUAAAAUAGUAGCAUUUAUACUGUGGCUUUAGUUCUAAGUUAAGAUCUGACAAGGUUAAGAUGAGAUUUUUCACCCAUUUUCACUCGUGUUACAGAAGCAUAUCUUAAUUUCGGAAACUAUUAUCUUAUGUAACAGCGUCAUAUCUCAAGUUAGGAAUUUAAAGCUACUCGAUCAAGGUUGAUAGCAAAGUCCUUAUACAGGAAAGUUUGUUCACUUGCCAGCCAUCUUGGUAAAUUUCCAAGACCAGACUCCUCUCUCUUUGAACGGAGAGAGACCUAAAAACCUGACACUGAAGAUUAAAUUACUAUUUAAAAAUGCAUUUGAAAUUUAUGAAUAGUUUGUAGUGUUUGGCUCAAAUAAAACAAAACAAAACAAAAAAAACAGGCUGUUUUGGCUACCAUGUUUGCACAGAUCUUGACAUUGUGUGCUUUUACAUGCACUUAAUAAUCCAGUAACUGCAGAAAAUCAGAUUUUGUCAGUAAUCUGAUCAAUGCGUUUCCAUGCGCUUGAGUAAUCAGAUCAUUUGAGAACUCCAGAUAUACAUGAGUCAGACAGUAUCAGAUUUUUGCUUUGCAACCAGCCAAUAAACUCGCAGAAGAAGACGUGUCAUAAAUAUACCAUAAAGCAUCAUGUUGUGGCUUUUUUUUUUUUUAAAUCGUUGCGCCACUUUAUUUGAAAAUAUGAAAAUACACCAUCUAGAAGAUGAAUAAUAUUUUAAUCCUUUAUUUCGUCAAACGUGUAGUUUGUUUCAGCAUCUCUCCAAAAGUGUUUUGCUACGUCUCGCAGUUUAUUCCCCGUGCUGCCGCCUGUUUUGCGCAUGCCCAGACUGGGAAAUCUGAAAGAAGUAAGAGUAAGAGGUUUAUAUGCAUUGAGAAAUCUGAUUAUUGAGCUAAAAUCCAGCUCUCUUUGAAUAAUCAGAUAACUACAGAAAUCAAAUUAUGAUCAGGUUAUUGGGUGCAUGUAAAUGCACUCAGUGAGGAGGGGUUUUGUCUGCUAGCGGCAUAACAGGUAAGCUGGUAGGCUCUUUUUGAUGGAAGGGCAGGGCUUUUACCAUAAGCAGAUGCGGUGUUGAGCAUUAUGAACAUUGCUAUUCAUAUUCAACCAGUAACCUCUCCUCCUUUAUAACAUCUCUAUCGAUAAUCAACUGUAGUGUCUGUUACUGAUUUAAAUGUAAACAAGUAAACAUGUAAGCAUGUAAUCAAGUGAUGCAAAAAAUGUCAUUUAAUUAGCUUAAAAGCUGAUACUGAUAUGAAAAGUCUAAAACAAACCCAAAGUAAACUAUAAGUUCAGAAUCCUGUAGUAGUGCCCUCUGCUGUUAUCAGAGUGUCGCCGCUCCCCAGUUUCAGUCUCCAUUUCCCAAACGCUUUAGCCGAGCGCGCUAAUGUUAUUCCUCCUAAUAAACAGAUUCAUGUUCAACUCUUUAUCCUCAUUAUUCAUCACCAUCACUGGAAUAUUUGAUCAAUUUUGAUUUUUAAAAUGCACAGUUAGAAAAGAAAAACAUCUCACAAGUGAAAGCAGCAUUUUACAGUAUAAUUAAAUGUAGCGUUAUUAUGCUAGUAGUGAACUAUGCUGCCUGACACAGCUGCCUAAAAACAAUAGAAACAGACGCUUAAACAGUAAGGACACUGUUGUGUUUAUCCUAAAGUUAGGACAGUACUUAGGAGAUUUAGUCUAGUUAGGGUACUUGUGUGAUUCUGUUUUCUUAUCUGGAGUUAAUAAUAUGAUUAUGAAGUUAGAAACCUGUUAUUCUGUAAUAGCCACGGUUCUAAAUUCAGUUCAUACUGACAUCGUCAUGGAGACUAAACAGUUAAGAUGUAUCUGUAAUACGACUCAAGGAGUGCUGAGUUCCCCCUUCAGAAGUGUAGUAGAACUGCAUCCAGAUCCUAAAAAAGAGAUCAACCGGAAAGCAAAACAAGACCUGAACCAACACAACAGAAUCAAACUCAAAAAAGAGAGCUAGGAGCCGAAAAUGAAUGGCCAGAUUGGAACUAAUAAAAAAGCAGAUUAUUCAUAUUUAUUAGAAAUGAAAGCUUUAGCAUUCGAGUCUAUUAGAGAUACUGAACAACUCCACAGUGAUGAGUGAGUAUUUAGGCAGCAUGCUAGAGGCAUGCUAGCCUGGCGAGGAUACUUAAGCUACUUUACACUUGUUUACAAGCUACAUAAGCCUCUUACCUUCAGACACAAACUAAAUACUAACCUCUUUGGUUGAUUGACUUGCACCUGGCGUGAGGGACAAAGUUAUGUACAUUUUAUUUUAUUUUUUCUUGACAUUGCAACUUGAUUCAUCUCAUAAAGCACUUGUUACUGUGCAGGUGUUUCUAUUUUCAAGACUGGAGCUCAACACUCAACACUGAACAGCCAACUUUGCUGAUUUGUGUGGUUUUAACAGUUUGCUUCUGUUUCUUCUGCUCUUGUCCUCUUUCUUAAUCUACAUGUGGUUUUUGCACUGUGGUGGUCUUCCAAAUUUCCAGACGUGCUAAAGUACCUGCAGCUAAUUUACAUCUCUGACUUUUACCAGAAACAAAGACUCGUCUGAAAUCCCACACGACUGAAACAGCGUCUCGCGCCAACCGCAGAUGCACGUGCUGAAGCCACAGCGUCUUUCGCAAGGCUAGACACUUCAUAACUAGAAAAUCACCAGUUAACAUCAAAAUGUACAAGUGAUUUCAUUUGCUAACAGGAUUGGACCUGGACUUUUUGUCCGUUACCCGUUAGAGCUGAAGGCUUUCCCCUGAGGUUAAUUUUAUAGUACUUCCACUGAAAUAAAUACAUUGAGAGUGAAUGUGAACAGUCUCUGUUAUGCUCAGACUGACACUUAACAAGCUGUAGAAUAUGCUUCUGCUAUUGUUAACUGUACAAUUAUUUGAACUAUAGACUUAUAGAUAUGAUAACUUAUAGCUUACAGAUAUGAGUUAACUUAGUAUUUACAACUUGCAUACUUUGAUUUGGACACUUCCUAAAUAGACUUCAGAACUUGUAGACUUUAUAACUUUAAAGUUUAUAACUAUUAUGGUGUAAACUUUGUAACAUCAGUAUUUAUCAUCAGUAUAUACAUCAGUCUAUACAUUUUUAUCUACAAUUUAUCUUCUCUACAGAUACAUGUAUUCUACAGAAAACAUACUUUUGUGUGUUUUAAUACAUGGUUACUAUUUAUUUUGUCAGUUUAACAUAAACACAAAACGUGGCCUGUUGGAAAAGUUAAGGCGCAUUUUAGAUUUUAUGUUUCCAAAAUGUUGAGCUCUGCAGAUAAGCAGCAAAUCAGCAAAACGCCAUUUGAACAUUUAACUAAUUCAGACUUUGCAUACCACUAAAUGUGUGAUAACCUUUAGACUUGAAGUUGUGUACUGUAUAACUUUAAUCUUUAUUACUCAUAGAUUUGAUAAUUUUAAUGUACUGUAUAUCUUUAUAUUUUGCAACUAUAGACUUAGAAAGUUUAGUUUGUAUGCUUUGGCAUAUUUUAUAACUUCAGGAUUUAUAAUCUUUUCAUGUACAGUUCAUCAAUCCAAACUGUCCAUGUGAACUCAAAGGCCCUGUACCAGACACCUCUACAAAAAUAAGCAGUUUUCUUUUAAAGCAGAUGAACUACUUCUAUACCAUGGUGCCAGCUGUCUCAACAUGUACACCAGUCCUGGCUCAGCUCUCGUGCUGUUUACACCACUGUUCUCAAACUCCAGUCCUGGAAGGCUGCAUUGUUGAACUGUUUGUUUUCCUCACCACAACACUCCUGGUAUAGCAGCUAUAAAUAGGAAGCUGAAUUACAUGUGCUGGAGCAGGAAAGCCCUCUCAGAUUUGAGAUUGAGGAACUUUGAACUAUUCUAAUCCACACAUUACAGAGCUGAGUCAGAACACAGUGAUGCAGUUUAUGCAGGGAGUCAGUGGGGAUUCCUCAUAACCACACCACAAUUGUCCCGAAUUGAAAACUUUGUGGCUAGUUAAAUUAAGAACUCAUGAGACAAGUGUUUCUGUGAUUUUUCCACAGUUACGGGUUGUUGGUGUGAUGUCAAAUAGAGAAAAAUCACUCAGACAGUGAACAAAAUAUAGUAUGAUAAAAUAACUAACAAAAUAAAGCUAUUAAUAAUAAUAGUAAACACAUAAUAAUCACAGUACACAAUUGACAUAGACAUGAUAUGCCUGCAAAUGCAUUCUUUCAUAGGAAAUCUUGCCAGGUUGGGCAAGCACAAGUUUUGGCCAAACUAAGUCAUUUUUACAUUUUUAUACCAUUUGAAAACUCCAGUUGCCCUUUAUAUGGUAGAAAAAAAAACAAAAAAAACAUAUGCUUCUUGCCUUUUGACA